GUGUAAGUAUGACCUAAUUCAGACUGUGAAACUUUGAAUGGCUUAUUAAAUCUAUUAUAGUUGAUUUAUGGUAUCUGCUACUCGGAUAACCGUAGUAAUUCUAGAGCUAAUAGAUGCAACCAACCCCGACUUCUGGAAGGGAUGCAUUUAUUAGAUAGAAGGUUGACGCGGGCUAUGCCUGUUGCUUCGAUGAUUCAUGAUAAUGUGACGGAUCGUACAGCCAUCGUGCCGGUGGCGCAUCAUUCAAAUUUCUUGCCCUAUCAACUUUUGAUGGUAAGAUAGUGGCCUACCAUGGUGGUGACAGGUGAUGGAGAUGAUUAAG
rnacentral:ncRNA from 1 species